CAGUACAAGGUCUCCCAUGGACACGAAGGCAGUACAAGAUCCCCCAUGGAUACGAAGGCAGUAAUCCUGUGGCCAGGCCCCUGCGUGGAAUCCCUUUGCCCAGCCCUUCGCCCAGCCCUCUGGUUUGUCCACUAACGAGCCUGCCGCCGACCCUGCCGCCGAGUGUGCCCAGGCUUUCCUGGUUGCACAAUGUUUUAAAUAUUUUUAUUCGAUUUAAAUAAAUUAUGAACUUUCAAA